GAAAAAGUACGCAAGAACUGCUAAUCCAUGCGUCCAUGUAUAAAAUCAUGGCUUUUUCA
rnacentral:tRNA from 1 species